UAGGUUGAAGGUGGCGACUCUUCUCUUGAGAGAUGGGAAGGGACUACUUUCUAUCGUACCCACGAGAAUGGGAAUUUGCCCUUCAAACAAGCCUUCAGAGAUGGGAAGAAGCCUCCUUCUACGCCUUUUCCUUAAGCGCGAGUUCUGCUUUAACUGGAUUCUAGAAAGGCAGUUCUUUGACCCGGAAGUCAAUAGGAGCUGCUAUAGAAUCCGAAUCUGGCUUUGCUGCUUUCUCUCUGGCUUAUGGUGGUACCUUAACUUCUUUUCUUCCUCUCCUGCUGCCCAUGAACCUCCAGCCUCUUCUGCUCUUUCAAGUUCCAAUGCUGGCGGAAGAACCUCGCUCCUGUACUCGGAUCUAAGUGAUCUAGCAUCGAGUGGAUCUAAUGAGGCAAAAGAAGCAGUCGAAGGCGACUAGAUUCUUCAAACCAUUAAGCGGGACAAAGACCCGGGCGGGCUCUACUCUAGUAGUGGAAACCAUGAAUCCAAUUCCUCUAUAGCUCUCCCAUCCACCAACCUCUCUCCUUUUCCCAAUAUCCAGCCAGCGCUGCUAAGCAACCUCGAACGGAACCAUCUUUCUCUCUAUCUCUCGGAAAUAGCUACCAAAGAAGGAAGAUGAUGCACCAGUGGGUUCUCAAUCGAAUGAAAUAACGUAUCUAAAGGCCCACUUAAUGGAUCCAACGAAGAGCUAUCAACAGCAAAGGAACCUCCACCAAGCUCUCAACUAAUCGGGAUCGACUUAACCAGAUAAGCUUUCCUAUGCUUAAGAGCCUACUUCUCUAAGUCCAUAUCUUCCGGCAUCACCAUUCCCAUUCUCUUCCUUUCAAAGCAAUUCUUUGAUAGCUGGGAGACCCACUUGUUAUGACGUAUCUAAUAGGCAGCCUGAACCCACGAAUGUACGUGAAUAACCAUCAGCUUUCCUUCAACUUCAACCUGUACCCGCC
rnacentral:lncRNA from 1 species